GCGCGGGCCGCGCCAACCGGACCCGGCGGCAAGGAGAACAGGGAAGGUUUUUCCGGUUUCUCUCCCUGGCCAACGAAACGGCAGACGAGCUCCUGUCCCGCCCGGCCC
rfam:Mesorhizobium sp. LC103 LC103_contig2, whole genome shotgun sequence.